UUAUUCUCGGUUCGUUGAUGGAAACGGCAGCAUGGCCUCUACAACAAUCCUCUCGUUUCCAAAGAAACAAAGAGCGGACAGCGACAGGCACCGUCCGUUUAUCAAGCAAAUGGUUCUGGCGAGAGCCGCUUGCCACUGAUAAAUAGUUGUGGCAAACUCAGCAAUCUGCCCUAGCGUCGACCAUGGGAUGAAGUGCUCCUUCGCCGGAGCCGCCGAUGAGGCAGCGGUCGCAUGGCCAUCGCAAUUAAGUACGCACUGCUGCCGCUAUCACACGGAGAUAUGGUUCGGCUACCGCUCGCACGCUCCGUUUACUUUCUAUGGCACCGUACUACUGGACUACGACAAGAUGUUCGUUCUUGCGGAGCGUCCACUCUCUUGGACGCUGUCAUAAGGAUGCUUGCUCAGCAGUGAAGGAAUCUUUAGUUGUUUCAGGGCAGUUUUCAUGUACCACCUGCAGGGGGCCUCUGCAAUAUAUCCACAGACACCACCAUUUUCAGAGCGGGGAUGGUGCCUAAAAUCGCGCAGAAAUGUCAAGCGAUAAUGCCGAGCGAUGACUCAUUUUGUAGGGUAUCCACUUCUUAAGUGGACUGUGGCUCUAGACCAUGAGUUCAGCACCCGGUAAUCAGAAGUCUCUUCUUCGCCAUGACGCGAGGACGUAGAACAAUCAGGCGACGUCAAUGAAGAAGUGGCCCGAUGACACGGUACCGGCGACACGACAACGACAGCAGAACCGACAGACGCGCACAACAAAUCAAACUCGAGGCGUUUAACUUCUUUCGCAGUACGACAGACUGAUUAUGACAUUUCCAACGGCUGUGCAAAGGCACCGAACGCGUACAUCGUACGCACGCGGAGUAUCUCGGAAAAAAAUAAAUUUUCGCUCUUCUGUUGCGACAUCGGGCAUGCAAUCACUCUUCCGUGCAGUGUUAAAGUUCCGCAGCACCGUUUCAUGUGCCGUAGGAGCGGAUUCGCUUCGGGUACAACAAUCUUCCCUCAUCUGCAAUGGCGCUCAGGCAGUUUGCCAACCAGUGGUGACCUCUGCAGUUCUGUUUGCAUAGUGAUUCGUUUGGUACACGCACGUCAGCAGUCAUCACGCGCAUUCAAGAAAUUUACACUCACUCGGGAUCCUUGAGGGAAAUUUUCAGAUGCGGUACUGUAACGCAUUCCUUUGGCUAGUAGUCGGCCAGUUACGCGGAAAUAAGUGCACAGCCAAAAGUGCACCAAAACAAAGCCGCUCUAUAAAUUCAUGUGGUGCCGGUUGAAGUCUCGAGAGGUUCGAUGUAUCUUCCUGGUGACCGCUUGCUUCAUGCGUAAUGAGCAGAAUGAAAUGACGGCAGUCAGGGAUGGUGUACCUCAAAGAGGCCUUUAAAAUUUGCGCCAAUCUUUGCUCUUUUAUAGUCUUCUUUUUUUUUUACUAUAUACAACCUACGUACGAAGCAAAUUGUAACAGAGCAAGUGCUCCCGGUUGAAGUGUGGUCGCCGAAUAAAACAUCAAUAUCCUGAUGAAAAUUCUGAAAGACGCGCAUCGUGCCCUGAGGUACCUGUCCAUUUGAACUUUUUUGCGAUUAGUUUACUGCGCCCUAAAUUCUUGAGUACUCAUCGGUGCGUAAACGAAAAGUAAUCGAAACGCAUUCGCUGCACCAAUACACAUAAUACAUUCAGUAGGAAUCAGCAAACAAAGGGUUCCGGCAAUAGCUGUAAAAGCAGGGAUUUUUCGGAUCAAUCCGAAACAUAACCGAAGCGCAUUCGCUGCACAAAUAGACAUCCUAGAUUACGUAGGAAUUCGCAAACAAAGGGUUCCGGCGAUAUCCAUAUACCCAUACGUUAUGUCGUGACCACCUUCUCUGCGCUUAUCAACGGAGUUAUGCUUCGUGCCUUUUGCUAUUUAACUGGUGUAUGAAAGAUGGAAGUGCAUAUUUUUACCCCACGUUUCUCGUGGUUCGAAAGCGACCUCACCUGCUGCUCCCCACUUCCUGGAUUCUAUCAGACUUUCAGAGCGAAUUGAUUGCCUAAUACGUUUAGAAAUGAUAAAUGUUUGCUUUUUAAGAGGUACUACAUUAACGAUGCUGUAUUUCCUUCUUUUGUGCUCGUGCUUUUACAUUCAUUGGAAAUUGUGUGUUUCUUCCCUGCUUUUGGUUUUUCAGUUGCUGUAUUAUUUCGUUUACUUGUGCAAAUAAAGCUGUGCAAUUCGCAA